rnacentral:rRNA from 1 species
AGCGAACAGACGAGGAGCUUGCUCCUCUGACGUUAGCGGCGGACGGGUGAGUAACACGUGGAUAACCUACCUAUAAGACUGGGAUAACUUCGGGAAACCGGAGCUAAUACCGGAUAAUAUAUUGAACCGCAUGGUUCAAUAGUGAAAGACGGUUUUGCUGUCACUUAUAGAUGGAUCCGCGCCGCAUUAGCUAGUUGGUAAGGUAACGGCUUACCAAGGCAACGAUGCGUAGCCGACCUGAGAGGGUGAUCGGCCACACUGGAACUGAGACACGGUCCAGACUCCUACGGGAGGCAGCAGUAGGGAAUCUUCCGCAAUGGGCGAAAGCCUGACGGAGCAACGCCGCGUGAGUGAUGAAGGUCUUCGGAUCGUAAAACUCUGUUAUUAGGGAAGAACAAAUGUGUAAGUAACUAUGCACGUCUUGACGGUACCUAAUCAGAAAGCCACGGCUAACUACGUGCCAGCAGCCGCGGUAAUACGUAGGUGGCAAGCGUUAUCCGGAAUUAUUGGGCGUAAAGCGCGCGUAGGCGGUUUUUUAAGUCUGAUGUGAAAGCCCACGGCUCAACCGUGGAGGGUCAUUGGAAACUGGAAAACUUGAGUGCAGAAGAGGAAAGUGGAAUUCCAUGUGUAGCGGUGAAAUGCGCAGAGAUAUGGAGGAACACCAGUGGCGAAGGCGACUUUCUGGUCUGUAACUGAACGCUGAUGUGCGAAAGCGUGGGGAUCAAACAGGAUUAGAUACCCUGGUAGUCCACGCCGUAAACGAUGAGUGCUAAGUGUUAGGGGGUUUCCGCCCCUUAGUGCUGCAGCUAACGCAUUAAGCACUCCGCCUGGGGAGUACGACCGCAAGUUG